UACGGGGGGGGCAAGCGUUGUUCGGAAUUACUGGGCGUAAAGGGCGCGUAGGCGGCCUGCUAAGUCGGAUGUGAAAUCCCUCGGCUCAACCGAGGAACUGCAUCCGAUACUGGCGGGCUUGAAUCCGGGAGAGGGAUGUGGAAUUCCAGGUGUAGCGGUGAAAUGCGUAGAUAUCUGGAGGAACACCGGUGGCGAAGGCGGCCUUCUGGACAGUGACUGACGCUGAGACGCGAAAGCGUGGGGAGCAAACAGG
rnacentral:rRNA from 1 species